CCGUCAGCCACCCGCCCGCCCCCGCGAGAGGCCGCGCUGCGGCGGAGGCCUGGUCACGUCCCGCACGGAGCCGCCGCCGCGUGAGGUGUUAUUUUAGGGCCAGUUCUGCAGAAAGGGCGAAGACGUGCCCGCGGAGGGGAGCCGUGAGCUGCAGCGCGGGCACCGGCCCGCUGAGCUGGGCCUGGAGGACCGAGAGCAGAACUAACCGGCUGACGUUUGCCGGCAGGUUGAUGCGCUGCCAUUCUCACUCCACAGAUACUUGUGAGGAAGGUCUGUUAGCAAGUCAAAUGCUUGAUCUUCGCUGUUCUGCUCUUUGCUGAAGGCAGGGCUAAACGUGGCUGAGCAGUCUGCAACAGAACAGCAAAAGAGAGGACACACAAAAAAGUGCACUUACAGGAAUCAAAACAUGAAGAUAUGCAGAGAGCAAAACUAACACAUUUCUUCGCACGUGGACUGAAACAUCCCACCAGUGCUGGAGCAGAAGCUGAGGAGCGGGAGCCCUGUGGUGUGAGAGGUGUCUGAAGGCUCCGAGAAGCUGGACAGGCCUCAAGGCAGGUCAGAAACGUCCAUACAGCCGAGUUAUUUGGCCAUCCCCGUGGCAUUAUCUAUAACUAAAUCGUAAUCUGGGUUCAAAUUAAAAGAGGUCAGAUAACAGUCUCAGUAUUCACUGCAAAGUAAAUCUAGAGUGGAUCCAAGGGUCCCUCCUGCGAGUUCACAUUAGUAAACCUGCUCUGAACCUCCAGUAGCCCAGCAGGGAUCUUGUUAAGUAGAGACCAGAGUGCAGCGCUGUAUCACCAGUAGGCUGGGCAGUCCAGCACUACUGAUGCUAUAGGGCUGAUCACCAUCAAAUCAAAAUUCCAAACUGGUCCCGAAUCUAGCUUUCCCAGAGUCCAGAUUUCCUUUCCUCAGUACUUGAAUUCAUUCAGUAUUACAAGGCCUUCUUUUGAAAAACGUGUGCCAUCUCUUAGCAGUAAAAAAGCAUGAAGGAGAAAUGUCAUAGUGCAUGGCAUGCACACAGUAACCUGAGCACCCGCAGUAAUACAAGAUGCAAGGCGGUUUUAUUAGCAAAGCUGCUUGAGGAGAGGAGGCAGUGAGACUCUUGGUAGCCCUCAGUUAGCAGAGGGUGGUCAGGAAUAAAGGACUACACGAGUCAUUUUGAGUGAAUUUGGAAAGAAUCAAAUACUAAAAAUACCUCAAAACUAUUUCCAACAUAGAAGUGAAAUACAGGAAUAGAAAUAUAGGAAUAGAGUUCAUGUGCUUCCAAUGCAAUAUUCUACAAGGAUAAGAAUAAUAGAAAACAACCAAUAAAAUGCAACUCAGUAGGACUAACUCCACUACAAAUAUAUACAUGUGACAGACCAGUACUGUGUAAUGUCUUUGAUUAUCAGAAAUUAGGAGCUUUGUGCAGCUAUAAGGGUCUGUUGUUUUGGGUAUCGCUGCAGCCAGUAAGGUGGACUCAGGUUUUAUGUUUGCUUGUUUCUUUCUCUGUUUGUUAGGAAGCAGGCAAGGGGGAGAAGGUGGGAGGAAGUCACAUAAGAACUUGGGGGAGGAAGAAUAUAAUCUCAAAUGGGAUGUGUGUACACUGUAAAGAAAUAUAAGAAAAGAGAAGCGUUACAGAUGUGUGUUCAAGACUCAAAGCUCAUUUCCACGUUUGAGUCACCUUUCUGUCCCUCCUGUGUUGUGAAAUAUCUACAAUAUACUGCAAAUAUUUAAAGAAUAAAGCCCGUGCAAACAGUUCAAAACCUGUGCUUGUAAAGUAACUGAUACAACAAACUCAGGAGGGCAAAGGACAGGUAAAUUAAAAUUAAAAAAAAAAAAAAAAAAAAAAAAAAAAGGGAAAAAAGGAUGUGGUGUGAGCACCUAGGAAGUCAUUUCUGGGAAUAUGAAACAGAAACUGUACUUUUCAGGGACGUAGCCAUCAUCUGCACCAUCCUGCCUGCUUUGUUUCACCAAAAGGAAUGAGAUUGUGGCAAGUUUAGACAGACUGGGCUUUUGUACAUCGGCCUUUGUGUUUAAAUGAAAUAAACAAAAGGGCUUGGA